rnacentral:rRNA from 1 species
UAGGGAAUCUUCCACAAUGGACGCAAGUCUGAUGGAGCAACGCCGCGUGAGUGAAGAAGGUUUUCGGAUCGUAAAGCUCUGUUGUUGGUGAAGAAGGAUAGAGGCAGUAACUGGCCUUUAUUUGACGGUAAUCAACCAGAAAGUCACGGCUAACUACGUGCCAGCAGCCGCGGUAAUACGUAGGUGGCAAGCGUUGUCCGGAUUUAUUGGGCGUAAAGCGAGCGCAGGCGGAAGAAUAAGUCUGAUGUGAAAGCCCUCGGCUUAACCGAGGAACUGCAUCGGAAACGUUUUUCUUGAGUGCAGAAGAGGA